rnacentral:rRNA from 1 species
AUACGGAGGGUGCAAGCGUUAAUCGGAAUUACUGGGCGUAAAGCGCACGCAGGCGGUUUGUUAAGUCAGAUGUGAAAGCCCCGGGCUCAACCUGGGAACUGCAUUUGAUACUGGCAGACUAGAGUAUAGGAGAGAGAAGUGGAAUUCCACAUGUAGCGGUGAAAUGCGUAGAGAUGUGGAGGAACAUCAGUGGCGAAGGCGACUUCUUGGCCUAAUACUGACGCUCAGGUGCGAAAGCGUGGGGAGCAAACAGGAUUAGAAACCCCAGUAGUCC